rnacentral:miRNA from 1 species
AUUAAGUGUCAGGUGCUUCUGGGACCAGAAUUUAUAAACCCAGCCUACUGCAGUGACAGCACUUGUCACA